GGGGUCGUAUUGGAUUUGACAGCGAAUGCGACGACUGAGUGUAAGCAUGUCGAGCGUUGUGGUGUAGCUCGUUAAUCUCAUGUCUCAAACAAUAAAUGACAACACGUCAUACGCACUUGCUGCUUAAUUAACGGAAUGUUAGUAGAGCUUAAUCCAGCUGAAGUUUAGUAAGCCGGACAAGUACCUUCUCCCACGCCUCGGCUUGAUAGGCAGGGAAUCCGGAGGUUCAUCACUUUCAAGCUGGCACCAAAUCGACCUCGGAGGCGGUGUGAGAUCUUAGAGGUUAAGCAUUGUUCUGGGUGUUCCUGUCCGCUUCAAUGUCGAAAACUAAUCAGGAAAUAAGCAUGUAGAAAGCUUGGAAGUUCUUUGUUUGGACGAGGGUUCGAACCCCUCCGACUCCACCU
rnacentral:tmRNA from 1 species